CUGUGUUCUUCACUAUAGCAAAGGUGACUUUGUGAUUAAGGAUAUUGAAAUCACUCUGGAUUAUCUGAUGGGUGCAGUGUACCCCAAGUUCUCUGUAAGAAGGUCUCAGGAGGGUCAGAAGGCACAAGGGAAGUGGCCACGGAAGCAGGAGUGGAACUGAUGAGCAUUGAAGUCUGUGGAGGAAGAGGUCAGAGCCAAGGAAACCAAAGGGCCUUUAGAAGCUAGAGAUGUGAACAGAUGGUUUCUCCUAGUGCCUGCAGAAGGAACGAGCUCAUCAGACACCUAGGAGCUAGGUCUUAGCUCCUAGGAUCCGUUUUGCACCGCCUGCCUCAAGGACAGUGAAGUAAGAAACUACACAAGGUGCUGGGAUCAUCUUUUUGGCCAGUCUCCUGCCGAUAGUUGCCUGGGCCUAUUGUGUUGUAUUAGACUCAGCCUAGAUUACAGGACAGUCAAAGGCCAUUCUGUAGGUGACAUGGCUGCAGAACAUGGAUGGAUUCAUUGACCUGCAUCUUCAUUCCCUGGUACACACAUAAGAAAGAAGGGCCAUUGGGGCACCGAUGAGGAGACUCCUGAAGGUGUCUGGGAGAGGAGACGCUUGUCUGAACUGGUCUGCUGACAGCAAAGAUAGAUCAGCAACAGGUUGGGGCAUGCUGCAGAAGUUGCGUGGCAGAGCGGCUUCACUCAUGGCAUCAGGAGCCUGUUGUGGGCCAUGAAGGCUGGCCAGGAUGCAGAGGGUGACCAGAACUACAACCGCAAAGGCUUUCCCUUAGAGACCUGCCUCUCCCUACCUAGUUCUUCCUCCGAAAGGCUUCUGAGUCUCCCCAAACAGCACCUGUCCUGUAGCCAGGGAAGGAAAACAUGAGCCUGCAGGAGAUUCGAACCAUCACAUCACAAUGGGGCCAUUUAAAUCAAGAAAAGGAGGGGAGCGACAUUCUGUGUCAGGAGGAAAAUCCAGGAGACGUGUGGUUGACCUGCGAGAUGCUGCUACUAACAACUGACUUUGAAAAACAUGCUGGCUGACUGCCUGCCUUCAGCACAGGCUUGCCCUGGUUCUCUUUGGUUUCUCUGCUUGUUUGCACACAUGUGUUCUGCUGGGGGAGGGUACCAGCCAGGAGGGUACCAGUUCCUUUCUGUAGGUCUCCCAGGUAGACAGAGGAAUGCUGCCCUGAAGCUCCCAUCUAUGCAGUGUGGAGACAAAGGAGAUGGGCGUUUCCUUUCCACAUUCCGGCCAGUGUUUAACAACCUUCCUUCUUGUACAUUUUGUGUUUUGUCUCUCACGAAAAAGGAUGAGUAAGGGUUUUGGAACUUCGUUGCGCUUUUUUUUUCUUGUUAAAUAACUUUUAUUAUGUUUGUUUGAGGGCUCCACCAUGACAUUAUGAGAUACAUGUAGAGAAUAAAAUGCUUAUUAUGAUGAAGCACAUGAAACUA